rnacentral:lncRNA from 1 species
AAAAUAUCACAGCAGUGCCAGACUUUACACUCCCUCAAACUAGCACACUGUAGCUUUAGGACAUAUUACACAUCUGUUCUGGCUGUUCUCUCUGUAGUUUAAAGUGAAAGUUCUAUCUUCUUGAGGUAGAUGUUGUGGAUUAAAUGCACCGGACUCGUAUUUGUGUGUGUCUACUUUACAUCGUUCCAUCUGUAGUUAAUGCUUUCCUGCUUGGCUGGAGUGGUCACGCAUAGCAAGAUGCUGAGGACACUGCCUGUGGCUUUGGCAGGCGCUGCUGGUGCACAGCGCCCACUGUGAAACCCUGCAUUCCUCAUCAGUCUGUUAGACAGUCUUCAUGCGUGGUGGAAUGGUUCUCCUUUCAGAUCUGAAUUGGGACCUGUCUAGAUGACACUACUCUUGCUGUGCUGUUUGUGCCCCUGUGAAGAUGCCCCCUCUGGACCACGUGGGCUGUGUGGUGCUGUACUGUGUCCUGUACCUGGUGAUGCCCACGCUCCUGCAUGGAGAGCUCACACUGGCGUAUGUGACUAAGUACAAUCUCUUAAUCUGUCAGUGUGCACAGGACCUGCCGGUCUGCAGCAUCAUCAACUCCAAUCACCCAAGCUGCAUCUGUAACCGCCCGCUCUCCACGCCUCAGCGGCAGGUCCACAGCCCUGCCGUGCUGCAAUACAGCCAUCUGACCGUGUGGUACUCGUCUCCGCUCAACACGGCGCGGCUGCUCAAUAACUCAGAAGUACGAAACCUUACACUGAUCAAAUGCAACCUGUCCGAGGAUGAGCCGCCAGCUUUUGAUCACUUUGCGGUUCAGAGACUGGAGAGAUUGAGGGUCUUGUACCCGGUCUGGAGACCCGGGCAAAGCCAUGACAUGCUGCUGGGGAGGGACAUGGGUGCUCCAUACCACGAGGAAGCCAGGAUUGCCAUCAUCCACGCCGCUGUUUUGGCAGGAGCUCAUGAGCUUAAAGCCUACACAGUGAAAACCGAGGUGGACAGUCAGGGCAAGAUGUCCCUUCCACACAUUUUUAUGUCUAACGAUAACCUUACAGAGAUGACCAGCAUGUUUGUGACUUUUGUCUACUGAGAGUUGUCUGCACUUGUUUGUUUUUUUUUCACAGGAAAAUAUUUGCAAUGUUUUUAUUUCUGUUUAUAAAUAAGAGUUAGUCUACAGUUACAGUAGAUACAGAAUCACUAGCACCGUAAUCUGUUGUUCCUAUCCUGCUGCAUGAUGCUCCUGCACACCAGGAGGGGUCAGAUUUUGACAUUACACAGCUAUUUUUUUAUUCAGUUGUUUAAUGGGUAACAGAAGCCUGAUUUAACUUCCUGGUUUGAAAGUCUGAACCGUCCAAAAAAAAGUGUUUCACUCUGCAAACCAACAGGACCAUGGCUGAGCUGGUCCAGUCUGGUUCAGACCGUGAUUUGUGGCCCUUUUUAAAACUGCUAUUUUGGUUCAGGCCCAAACUGAAAGGUCAGACAUUCCAGACCAAACAAGGCAGCAUAAGAGAAAACAGACAAAUGUCUCAAAUGAUUAAAAAAAUACUUUUUACAGACCAUUGAAAUAAACAUAUAAGCUGCAUAUAUUUGAUGUUUUGC